CCAAUGAUAUUUUAAUGGCCGCAGUAUUUUGACUGUGCAAAGGUAGCAUAAUAAUUAGUUUCUUAAUUAGGAACUGGUAUGAAUGGUGGAAUGAGAAAAAAUCUGUCUUUAUUUGAUUUAUUUUAGAAUUUUAUUUUUAAGUUAAAAAGCUUAAAUUUUAUUUAAAGACGAGAAGACCCUAUAGAGUUUAAUAAUUUAUUUAUUUUAUAUUACAUUAAGAAUUUAAUUUUGUUAAAUAUUUAAUUUAUUUUGUUGGGGUGAUGGAAAAAUUUAAUUAACUUUUUCUUUUAUAUUAUCAAGUUUAAUUGUUUUAUUGAUCCAUUAUUAGUGAUUAUAAGAUUAAAUUACCUUAGGGAUAACAGCGUAAUUUUCUUGGAGAGUUCAUAUCGAUAAGAAAGUUUGCGACCUCGAUGUUGGAUUAAAAUUUAUAAUUGGUGUAGCAGCUAGUUAAUUAAGUCUGUUCGACUUUUGAAAUUUUACAUGAUCUGAGUUUAAACCGGCGUGAGCCAGGUUGGUUUCUAUCUUGAAUUAAUUUUAAUAAUUUAGUACGAAAGGACCAGUUAUUAGUAAUAUUUAUUUGUUUUUGAAUUAUAUUGUUACUUUGGCAGAUUAGUGCAUUAAAUUUAGAAUUUAAAAAUGUAUUUAUAUACAAGUAAUACUUGAUUUUGAAAGAUUAUUUUUUAAUAUUUGUUAGAGGAUUAAUUUUAGUUAUUUGUGUUUUAGUAGGUGUA
rnacentral:rRNA from 1 species